CCUACGGGAUGCAGCAGUGGGGAAUAUUGCACAAUGGGGGAAACCCUGAUCCAGCGACGCAGCGUGAGCGAUGACGUACUUCGGUAUGUAACGCUCCAUCAGCAGGGAAGAAAAUGACGGUACCUGACUAUGAAGCUCCAGCUCACUACGUGAAAGCAGCCGCGGUAAUACGUAGGGGUCGAGCGUUAUCCGGCUUUACUCGGUGUAAAGGUAGCGUAGACUGCUGUUCAAGCCAGAUGUGAAAGCCCGGGGCUCAACCCGGGGACUGCAUUUGAAACCGUGUGGCUUGAGUGUCGGAGAGGCAGGCGGAAUUCCUAGUGUAGCGGUGAAAUGCUUAGAUAUUAGGAGGAACACCGGUUGCGAAGGCAGCCUGCUGGACGAUGACUGACGUUGAGGCUCGAAAGCGUGGGGAGCAAACAGGAUUAGAUACCCGGGUAGUC
rnacentral:rRNA from 1 species